GCUGGCGGCAUGCCUAACACAUGCAAGUCGAACGGCAGCACAGCAGUAGCAAUACUGUGGGUGGCGAGCGGCGGACGGGUGAGUAAUGCAUCGGGACCUACCUCAACGUGGGGGAUAACGUAGGGAAACUUACGCUAAUACCGCAUACGUCCUACGGGAGAAAGCAGGGGACCUUCGGGCCUUGCGCGGUGAGACGGACCGAUGUGCGAUUAGCUAGUUGGUAAGGUAAUGGCUUACCAAGGCGACGAUCGCUAGCUGGUCUGAGAGGAUGAUCAGCCACACUGGAACUGAGACACGGUCCAGACUCCUACGGGAGGCAGCAGUGGGGAAUAUUGGACAAUGGGCGCAAGCCUGAUCCAGCAAUGCCGCGUGUGUGAAGAAGGCCUUCGGGUUGUAAAGCACUUUUAUCAGGAACGAAAUACUACGGGUUAAUAACCUGUGGGGCUGACGGUACCUGAGGAAUAAGCACCGGCUAACUUCGUGCCAGCAGCCGCGGUAAUACGAAGGGUGCAAGCGUUAA
rnacentral:rRNA from 1 species